rnacentral:rRNA from 1 species
AUGGGGGCUGGCGGCUGGGGCUGGAGGAGGAAGGAGGAGAAGUGGGUGGGUGUGUGCCCUGGCCGCUUCCUCUGCUCACAAGCUUCCUUCCUCUGCUCACAUUGCCAUUUUGGAGGGGAAAGGUGUGUCCCCUGGCGGCUGGGGCUGGAGGAGGAAGGAGGAGUGGGUGGGUUGGGGUUGAGGGUUUGUGAUUUUCGUGGAUGGGGGCUGGGGCAUGUGCUGCGAUCAGGAGAAGAAAGCAACAGAGCUUUUUUGCUCCUGUACAGCGGGGCCUGGGCUUUCUUUUGUCUUUUUUCUGCUUUUUCUGUAAAGUAUGAACAAGCUUUUAGUCAAAAAGGCCCAACAAGGACAAUCAAAACAAACAACCAAAAAAGGCCCACAACCUACAAAUAA